AGAGUUUGAUCCUGGAAAGGACGAACGCUGGCGGCGUGCUUAACACAUGCAAGUCGCACGAGACGAUUGAAAGCUUGCUUUUGAGAGUCGAGUGGCAAACGGGUGAGUAACGCGUAGACAACCUGCCGCAAAGAUGGGGACAACAGUCCGAAAGGACUGCUAAUACCGAAUGUUGUCAGAUUCCCGCAUGGGAGACUGAUUAAAGAUGGCCUCUACUUGUAAGCUAUCGCUUUGCGAUGGGUCUGCGUCUGAUUAGCUAGUUGGUGGGGUAACGGCCUACCAAGGCGACGAUCAGUAGCCGGUCUGAGAGGAUGAACGGCCACAUUGGAACUGAGACACGGUCCAGACUCCUACGGGAGGCAGCAGUGGGGAAUCUUCCGCAAUGGGCGAAAGCCUGACGGAGCAACGCCGCGUGAGUGAAGAAGGGUUUCGGCUCGUAAAGCUCUGUUGACGGGGACGAAUGUGCGGAAUGCGAAUAGUUUUUCGCAAUGACGGUACCCGUCGAGGAAGCCACGGCUAACUACGUGCCAGCAGCCGCGGUAAUACGUAGGUGGCGAGCGUUGUCCGGAAUUAUUGGGCGUAAAGGGAGCGCAGGCGGGAAGGCAAGUCAGUCUUAAAAGUGCGGGGCUCAACCCCGUGAUGGGAUUGAAACUGCCUUUCUUGAGUGCAGGAGAGGAAAGCGGAAUUCCUAGUGUAGCGGUGAAAUGCGUAGAUAUUAGGAGGAACACCAGUGGCGAAGGCGGCUUUCUGGACUGUAACUGACGCUGAGGCUCGAAAGCGUGGGGAGCGAA
rnacentral:rRNA from 1 species